rnacentral:rRNA from 1 species
GUUGUAUGGUUAAGUGACUAAGCGUACAUGGUGGAUGCCUUGGCAGUCAGAGGCGAUGAAGGACGUACUAACCUGCGAUAAGCCGUGAGCAGUCGGUAAGAGACAUUACGACUCACGGAUUUCCGAAUGGGGAAACCCACUUAGCAUAAGCUAGGUAUCGCUGCGUGAAUACAUAGCGUAGCGAGGCGAACCGGGAGAACUGAAACAUCUAAGUACCCCGAGGAAAAGAAAUCAACCGAGAUUCCCUCAGUAGCGGCGAGCGAACGGGGAUUAGCCCUUAAGCAUCUUGGAAGUUAGUGGAACGGUCCUGGAAAGGCCGGCGAUACAGGGUGAUAGCCCCGUACACGAAAACAACCUUGAUGUGAAAUCGAGUAGGGCGGGACACGUGACAUCCUGUCUGAAUAUGGGGGGACCAUCCUCCAAGGCUAAAUACUCCUGACUGACCGAUAGUGAACCAGUACCGUGAGGGAAAGGCGAAAAGAACCCCUGUGAGGGGAGUGAAAUAGAACCUGAAACCGUGUACGUACAAGCAGUGGGAGCCCUUCGGGGUGACUGCGUACCUUUUGUAUAAUGGGUCAGCGACUUACAUUUUGUAGCGAGGUUAACCGUAUAGGGGAGCCGUAGGGAAACCGAGUCUUAACUGGGCGUCUAGUUGCAAGGUGUAGACCCGAAACCGGGUGAUCUAGCCAUGGGCAGGUUGAAGGUUGAGUAACAUCAACUGGAGGACCGAACCCACUAACGUUGCAAAGUUAGGGGAUGACCUGUGGCUGGGGGUGAAAGGCCAAUCAAACUCGGAGAUAGCUGGUUCUCCCCGAAAGCUAUUUAGGUAGCGCCUCGGACGAAUACUACUGGGGGUAGAGCACUGUUUGGGCUAGGGGGUCAUCCCGACUUACCAACCCCAUGCAAACUCCGAAUACCAGUAAGUAAUAUCCGGGAGACACACGGCGGGUGCUAACGUCCGUCGUGAAGAGGGAAACAACCCAGACCGCCGGCUAAGGUCCCAAAGUUCUGGUUAAGUGGGAAACGAUGUGGGAAGGCUCAGACAGCUAGGAUGUUGGCUUAGAAGCAGCCAUCAUUUAAAGAAAGCGUAAUAGCUCACUAGUCGAGUCGGCCUGCGCGGAAGAUGUAACGGGGCUCAAACCAGGCACCGAAGCCGCGGAUUCACGCUAAGCGUGAGUGGUAGGGGAGCGUUCUGUAAGUCUGCGAAGGUGUGUCGAGAGGCAUGCUGGAGAUAUCAGAAGUGCGAAUGCUGACGUAAGUAACGAUAAAGGGGGUGAAAAGCCUCCUCGCCGGAAGACCAAGGGUUCCUGUCCAACGUUAAUCGGGGCAGGGUGAGUCGACCCCUAAGGCGAGGCCGAAAGGCGUAGUCGAUGGGAAGCAGGUUAAUAUUCCUGCACGACUUGUAAUUGCGAUGGGGGGACGGAGAAGGCUAGGUGGGCCAGGCGACGGUUGUCCUGGUGAAAGUGCGUAGGUGGUGUUUCUAGGCAAAUCCGGAGACACAACACUGAGACACGAGACGAACGCACUACGGUGCGGAAGCCAUUGAUGCCCUGCUUCCAGGAAAAGCCUCUAAGCUUCAGAUUACAAGUCAUCGUACCCCAAACCGACACAGGUGGUCGGGUAGAGAAUACCAAGGCGCUUGAGAGAACUCGGGUGAAGGAACUAGGCAAAAUAGAACCGUAACUUCGGGAGAAGGUUCGCUCUUGACAGUGAAGUCCCUUGCGGAUGGAGCAGUUGGGAGUCGCAGUGACCAGAUGGCUGGGACUGUUUAUCAAAAACACAGCACUCUGCAAACACGAAAGUGGACGUAUAGGGUGUGACACCUGCCCGGUGCCGGAAGGUUAAUUGAUGGGGUUAGCGCAAGCGAAGCUCUUGAUCGAAGCCCCGGUAAACGGCGGCCGUAACUAUAACGGUCCUAAGGUAGCGAAAUUCCUUGUCGGGUAAGUUCCGACCUGCACGAAUGGUGUAACCAUGGCCAUGCUGUCUCCACCCGAGACUCAGUGAAAUCGAAUUCGCCGUGAAGAUGCGGUGUACCCGCGGCUAGACGGAAAGACCCCGUGAACCUUUACUACAGCUUGGCACUGAACAUUGAACCUACAUGUGUAGGAUAGGUGGGAGGCUUUGAAGGCGUGACGCCAGUUGCGCUGGAGCCGUCCUUGAAAUACCACCCUUGUAUGU